rfam:Salmo salar isolate Sally breed double haploid chromosome ssa05, whole genome shotgun sequence.
CACUCACUUUAGUGUAAGUCGCUCUGGAUAAGAGCGCCUGCUAAAUGACGUCAA